AUUUCCAAACUUGUACCUAAACCAUCUUAUUAGACAGUACGAUGAAAGCUUAGCACCAUGUUUUUAUGGUUUACCCUAUAGUUUCAUUUCGUGAUACAAGAUGGUGAGAGUGACCUGUGCUAAUAAGAACUCGUCUGGAUACACUCAGUGUAGCGGAAAGAGGGGUGUCAGAUAGCACAGACAUAU
rnacentral:snoRNA from 1 species